rnacentral:rRNA from 1 species
AUACGGAGGGUGCAAGCGCUAUCCGGAUUUAUUGGGUUUAAAGGGUGCGUAGGCGGUUUGAUAAGUCAGCGGUGAAAUAUUUCAGCUUAACUGGAAGGGUGCCGUUGAUACUGUCGAGCUUGAAUUUAGUUGCUGUGGGUGGAAUGUGUGGUGUAGCGGUGAAAUGCAUAGAUAUCACACAGAAUAUCGAUUGCGAAGGCAGCUCACAAAGCUAAUAUUGACGCUGAUGCACGAAAGUGUGGGGAUCAAACAGGAUUAGAUACCCUGGUAGUCCACACUGUAAACGAUGAUAACUCGCUGUCGGCGAUACAUAGUCGGUGGCCAAGCGAAAGCGAUAAGUUGUCCACCUGGGGAGUACGACCGCAAGGUUGAAACUCAAAUGAAUUGACGGGG